rnacentral:lncRNA from 1 species
GGGCUUAUCAGGAAAUACUUAAGAAAGGCCCACACGUCGGGUUUACAUAGAGAUAUUAACGUGCCGCACAAUUUUCUAUCAUCUAGAAGACUCCAGAAGCCACGGGAACAAAGCGGAAGCCGAGAGGGCUCAGGGAUGGGGCGCCCGCCCAAGUCCUUAGGGCGCCCGCCCACCUAUUUCGGCCAAUCACGUUCAACUUCGCGGAUUAUGCUCCACCGACCUAAAGGAUCAACAAUAACCAUUCAAUCAAUGUCGGUUUGAUCCAACGGCCU